UCUGAUUCCCCUGGGCAUUUACACUCUGCCAUCCCACACAGUUCCCCCUCCUGUGUGAGGGUCCUAUUGCAAUUCAUUAGCGUGCUUUUUUUUUUUUUUUUUUUUUUUUUUUUGCUUUUUGUUUUGGAGACGGAGUCUUGCUCUGUCCCUCAGGCUGGAGUGCAGCGGCGCCAUCUCAGCUGAAUGCAACCUCUGCCUCCUGGGUUCAAGAGAUUCUCCUGCCUCAGCCUCCCAAGUAGCUGGGAUUACAGGUGCGUGCCACCACGCCUGGCUAAUUUUUUGUAUUUUUAGUAGAGACAGGGUUUCACCGUGUUAGCCAGGAUGACCUUGAUCUUCUGACCUCGUGAUCCUCCCACCUCAGCCUCCCAAAGUGCUGGGAUUACAGGCGUGAGCCACAGCGCCCGGCCUUCAGCGUGCUUUUUUUUUUAAUGGUUUGCUAUAUUUACAUCUGGUUUCUCCUUCUGAAUGACCUAUUCAUGUUUUCCAUGUUUCAAAUAUGACUGAACCUGACAUAUAUAAGAACGCAAAAGAUUCUUCAAAAUCAAACUGUGUCCGGAAUUGGUGGGUUCUUGGUCUCACUGACUUCAAGAAUGAAGCCACGGACCCUGGCGGUGAGUGUUACAGCUCUUAAGGUGGCGUUUCUGGAGUCUGUCCCUUCUGAUGUUCAGAUGUGUUCGGAGUUUCUUCCUUCUGGUGGGUUCGUGGUCUCGCUGGCUCAGGAGUGAAGCUGCAGAUCUUCACGGUUGCUAGUAACACAAUAAUAAAGCUGCUUUAUUUUCCAGUGAAGAUGUAUGUGAUAGGGAGUGGAGGAAGAAAAAGGCCAGAAAAUUCCAUAGUUAGCAAAUAUACCUUUCUUACUUAAAAUUCUUUUUCCAAUGUGAGCCUUCUAAAGAGUUACUGAGAAAUUAGGUGAGCUCACCUCAUUUAAUGCAAUAGAUAUGUUUCUGAAAAAUAAGCAAUACAUAGGACAUUGGCCAAUUAAGAAUUCUGAUGAAGAAGAAUUUUCACAUCCGAAAGAGUAAAAAUGAAAAACGGUACAAAUGUAGUGGCUUUUAAAUUUCAAAACAAAUUAUUUUGAUAAGAUAAAUAUUCCUCUCAUAAAGUGAAAAUGGAAGAGACUGCUUGCUGGGUGUUCGUCAAAAUGGAGUUAGAUGGUCUGUCCCAGACUCCCCUGUUGUUAGUUCUGAGAACAGAAGUAAUGGUGCUUCUUCAGGACUGGCUCAUAGAAACCUGCCGUGUUCAGCCCCCACAAUCCUCUCCCUUCUGCUGGCUGGAAACAAAUGACAACGAAGCCUCACGUCUUGGAGAAACCACACUGCUGAGGAACUCAAGUCCUAGAAGAACCAUUUGAAGAGACCCAUCUCACUAAAGAAAAUCACACAAGCAAGAAGUAAACUUCAUUGUAUCUAUGUAUUUAAUUGUCAUAACAGUCUACCUUAACUGAUACAGCAAAAAUUCGCUCCUUUUCUGGACACCCAGUUUCAAAAUCUCAGUGUCAUUUUUUACUUCUCUCUUUUCAGGUUGUUUAAUAUAAUAAAAUUUGUGUGUGUGUGUGUGUGUGUGUGACAAGGUCUUGCUCUGUUGCCCAGGCUGGAGUGCAAUGGCACGCUCCCAGCCCACUACAGCCUUGACCUCCAAGCUCAAGUGUUCCUCCCACCUCAGCCUCCAGAGUAACUGGGACUACAGGCAUGGGCCACCACACCCGGCUAAUUUUUGUACUUUUUGUAGAGACAGGGUUUCACCAUGUUGCCCAGGCUGGUCUUGAACCCCUGGGCUCAAGCGAUCUGCCCAUCUCCACCUCCCAAAAUUCUAGGAUUACAGGCGUGAGCCACUACACCCAACCAUUUUAUUUUUAAAAGUUUUCUUUGCAAUAUUGCUCACAUUGUUUCCUUCCUUUUUAUUCUUAUUGUCACUCCCAAGUUCAGGCUUUUACCUCUUUUAUUUGAAGUAUUAAAGUAUACUUCUAAGUCAUUUCUGUGGCUUAAAUUUAUUUAAUCCACUCCAUCCUGCAUCCUACCAACACAAUAACAUUGUUUCAUCAUUUCAAAUUGAAAUCGAAACUCUCCAAAGCUUUCCUACUGCUGAAUGGAUAAAAACACAAAAUCCUCAAUAGAGAAUUCACUUUCUGGAGCCAACUUACCUUUCCAAAUAUUUCCCAUUAUUCCCUAAGAGAAUCCUCCUGACAUACUCACUGUUUUUCAUAUACACUAGACCUUUUCUCAACCACCUAUUUGUCCACACAUUUUUCUUCCAGCUAGAAUAUUAUUUUCCCUUUCUCACUUCUGAAAGUCUUACCUGUCAUUCAUGGUUCAUCUCAAGCUCAAUCUUCUCCUUGAAACCUUUAAGCAUACCCUCCUGGAAAGUUAUCUCCCUCACCUCGAACCACCCCCCCAGCCCCUGCCAGAAUCUCCUAUAGGGCUGAUUGUUUAUCCUGCUUAUUAUAUAUUUAUAAAACACUCCACUGAGUUAUUAAUUACCUUUUCCUUGACUGUGAAAACAUGACUCUGGCUUCAAGGUAGGACCAUUUUUUCUCUAACACUGUGUCUCAUACACUUCAGCACAAGCUCUUAGUGGCCUGUGCAUUCAACUCCCAUGCAUAGCCACUUCCUCCAGGCAAACCCCACAGCCAGCAUCCAAAUUUUAAAAGGGGUUCUGUCAUCAACCCAAAGUUUCUUCUCUCUCAAGGAACCUAGAUUUAGAAGUUGAGUCUAGGCCACCUGUCUAAGAUACAGUAGUUAAUUUAACAUAUUUUAUUGCUCUCAACAUCACAGAGAAAGAGCCUUACUGCAGAUCUCAUUCUUUCCUUCAAAGCCAGUUUGCCCAUUCCUCUUCAGAAACCUUUAAGAGUGGUUAUUGGGAGAGAUGAUAAGACUCCAUCUGCUUAAGGAGUCCCUCUAACCCAGAAUAGUAGAUGUAAACACCUGACAUGUUGUUAUAGAGUGAAUGUUUGUGUUCCCCUCCAAUCCAUAUGUUGAAAUUCCAAGCCCCAAUGUGUUCGCAUUGGGAGGUGAGGCCUUUGGGAGGUAAAUAGAUCAUGAAGGUGAAGUCUUCAUGAAUGGAUUAGUGUCCUUAUAAAAGAGACCCCAGAGAGCUCUCUCAUCCUGUUUCUGCCAUGUGAGGACACAGCAAGAAGUUGGUCAUCUGCAACCUGAAGUGGCUCCUCCCCAGAAACUGAAUCUGCUGGGGUCUUAAUGGUGGGCUUCCCAGCCUCCAGAAUUAUGAGUGUAAAUGUUUGUUGUUUAAGCUACCCAGUCUAGGGUAGUUUGCUAUACUACCCCAAACUGACUAAGAUACAUAUGUUUGUCAUCCACUCAGUUGUUUUCCUAAAAUAAAUGAAGUCAGCUCCAAAGAUGAAUUUUCAUCUCUUUUUGUAGAGAUGGGUGCUAUUAUGCUUUUUAAUGAACGUUUAUUCACAAAUAAAAACAAAACAUACCUCUCACAUCCUCAGAGCAAAUACUUACAGUAACAUACAUUGAUGCUCACAAGCUCAUUACAUUUCAUGUUUACUAUUCAUUGAUAACAUUACAUUUAUUAUUAUCACAUAAACCAUACCUCCUGUUUAUGAAGCACUUAUGGUGUUUUAGUCAAUGUUAUGGUACCUGCUAUAUAUGGUCUCUAAUUUUAUUUUAACUUCCUAUAGUAAACAAUAUUAGGUGCUAACUCAAUAGUCAUUUUCUAACCUGAUUUUUCCUUGCAAACAGAACCCCAAAUUUGUUUGGAGAGAAAUGUGUCCAAAUCCAAACAAAGCAUCACCAUUUCUUUGAACCAUCAUAAGGAUCUAAUCAUUUUUUUUGUUUUCCUAGCCUCCCUCUAGCCAGAGAUACUGGGUAACACAGUUCUGGCUGAGAAGACAAGAGAAGAAAUCUGCUAAGCAUUUCUGGAAAAAGUUUUGAUUUGCUGAUGAAAGGGAACAGACAUACUGGUUGCCUUCCUUUUCCCUUUCAGCUGCCUAGUCGCCAUUUUGCAAUGUGAAACAACAUCAUUAAGGAAAGAUCAAAACAAUUGCAGAGAUGUCAACCAUCAUGCCUUUGAAUUCAUGCUCACAGUUGUCUGCCUCCAGAUUCAGUUAUAUUUGAGGUACUCUUUGAGUUAAGAUCCUUCUCAUUUUAUACCACUUGCAGCUGAACACACUCCCCACUAAUUUACCUUGUAAGGUGAAUUUCACUUAAAGGAAGAACACAUAAGUCAGGGAAUGACACAUAAUAGUAAAUGCAGGGUUUUUUUUUCUAUUUAUGAUAUAGAUUUAUACAACUGCUAUGUUCUUGACAUUGUACCAAUUUCAAGGUACAAAUAAGACAUAAUCCCUAAAAGCAUGGGUUACAAAAUCUGGGUUCAGCAUAGGGUUUCAUGAUAAACAAACAAACACAAAUUGUUUUUUAUUGUAUUUCCUUCUUCUUCACAUCUUGUGAAUCUAAGAAAAAUAUCAGAAUGUUCGUUUCAGCUCAAUUUUUGAAGAGUACAAUCUCUAAGUAAAAAGAAACUGUAAAUGUUUAUAAAUGUAACUAGAGCCUAGUAGAAAAUAAAGCCAUGCAAGUGUGUUUAGGUCCUAAUCUUAUUAACCAGAUUAGUGACACACAGUCUGCCCAAAGUUAAUGAAAGCAGUGAGGUUCUUUGACUUCAGUAGAUACACACCUGAACCACAGAGAUAAACUUGCUUCAAACCUGUGCGAUAUGUUUUUCUAAGCAUAAAAUUGAGCAUGAUAGCUCCAAUUUCAGUCUCAGUUUCAAAGCUUCCCUUUCCCGAAUAAGAGGCAAACUGUCACAUUAAAUUUAGCGAAUUAAAAUCAGUUAACUUGAAAAGCUCUUGGCCCCAAUGCAGAGAAAAUUGUUUGCAUAAUAAUAACUUAUUUCCUUUUUUAAAAGGCGGACUUCUGCCUGAAUGCUUCUAUAAACUUUUAAGAAAAUGGGAUUCUCAAAUCUCAAGCGUAUUGGGUUGCAGUUGGCACUUGAAGCUGGGGACAUGCAGAGCUGGCUAAUGUCAGCAGCUGUAGGACUGUCAAGAAAAAUAGGUGGAAGGGACACUUUUAUUAUAAGUAGACUUGCAAGGCAUUCCAACUUUCAGCUGCUCAACCCAGUAUACCAAACACCUCUGACUACCUCAAGUGUGGCCUUGCUGAGUGCUUCCAUAUUUAGGGGUUAUUAGACAGGACUGAAGCAAGUGACCUCUAAUGAGGAAGCAAUCAGGGCAGGCUCUGACCCUCCUCAGAGGUACUGUAAUGAACUGGCCUUGGAAGGUCUUUGAUGCUGCCUUUGCAUACUGUAUAUGAGCUUUCUGCUCAGUCAUUUCCUCUGCGCUCUGGUAGCACAGCAUGAAGCCUGCUAUUAGAAAAAAGGUUUAUUGCUACCUUGCAAACAUUUAUUGGGUAAUAUCUAAAACAUGGUGUCAAGUUAUAGUAAUGCGCUGUUCUGGGAAACUUUUUGAGAAUUUUAGUGUUUCAGAAGAUGGUCCUUUGAGAAUUCUUCUGUUUCAGAAAUGAAAAGUGGUAGAUAUAUACGUGUGUGUGUAUAAUAUGCUCAUGUAUCCUCUGAUUACUUGCCAGAGAUGUACCAUUUUUCUUUCAAGGGAAACAUCUAUUCCUAAGAUAGAUUAUUCUUGAAAUUUUCAAAGAGUAUGCCUCAGAGAACAAAUAUACAAAUUUACCAUUUGUCUGCAGAUAUUAUUUGCCUGUGUUUAUGCUAGGUCACUGACACCACACACAUUUUAAUCCCCAAGGGAAUUUAUUUGGUGGUGUUAUCUACUCAACCAAGCUGAAGCUUAUCUAGUUCACAAGAAAAUAGUCAAUAUGAGCUCCAUGCAGACUUAUGCUGUUAAUGCAGAAGAGGGAAAGAGAAUUUACCUUUAACUGUUAUGAUGAAAAUGUGUACAAUGACACUUAACUAUGGCAUGCAAAUCCUCUUUUCCUCCCCCACAGGUAUCUGGAAAGUACCUUAUACAGCUAGGUGCUUAGAAAAUGUUUAUUGAUUAAAUAGAUGAUGAUUAACAGAUUAAUAAAAGGUGAAAGUUACUAUCUAUGCAUUUUUUUCCAGUUUGAUGUUCAAAAACUUACCAAUGGAUGGGGAGUUGCUUUUCAUAAACAAUUUAUAAAGCACUGUCCUGGAUGAAAUUGUAAAAAGGACGUGGUGUCAAAGAUGACUCAGUGGAGUUGAGGUGAAAAAUGUGUAAUGAGCAAAUCAUGGUAAUUGGGAUAUCCAUCACCUCAAACCCUUAUCAUGUCUUUGUGUUGAGGACAUUUCAAAUCUUCCCUUCCAGCUAUUUUGAAAUAUACAACAAAUUAUUGUUAAGUGUAGCCACCCUAGUGUGCUACUGUACACUAGGACUUACUUAUUCCUUCUAUCUAACUGUAUUUUUGAACCCAUGAACCAACAUCUCUUUGAUUUCCAGCCUGGGCUUUGGUGUCCCUUUUUUUGUGUGUUUUCAUAGGGCCCUAUAUUUAUAUUAUUUGGGCUCAACACAUUGCAAAACUGCAGAGGAGUUUACUAUUAUGCACAUUAUUAUUCUAUAUUCUGUCACUCUAAGAAACAAUAAGUGACCAUCUGAAGAGACCAUCUUCUAGCACCAAAAUAUUUAAAGAUGAUUAAGAAUAAGACAAGGGUCUCCUUAUUUACAAAAUGACAUAAUUGAAAGGACUAGAUUAUUAGCAACCCCUCUGGAAAAGGAUUACUCUUUUGGAUUUUAAUUACAUAACUAAUAUAUCAACUGAAGUGCUAUGCCCUGACGUGUGCUCCCCUCAGCUUCACGAUCCAUAUGUUGAAACCCAACCCCUUAAUGUGAUGGCAUUUGGAGAUGGGGCUUUGGAGAUAUUAGUUAGGUUUAGAUAAGGUCAUGAGAAUGGGGCUCUUAUGAUGAGAUGAGCACCUUCAUAAAAAGAGACACGAGGUAUUUCUCUUUUCUCUCUUCUCUCUCUCCCUCUUUCCCUCCCUCCCUCUCUCCUCCUUCUCUGUCUUCCUCCUUUAUGUGAGGACAUAGCCAGAAGGCAGCUGUGUCUGCAAGCCAGGAAGAAAGCCCUCACCAGGAAUCAACUAUAUCAGCACCUUGAUCUUGAACUUCUAUCCUUAGAACAGAGAGAAAAUGAAUUUCUAUUCUUGAAGCCACCCAGCCUACGGUAUUUUGUUAUGGCAGUCAAGCUGAAUAAGAUAUAUAUCUACACUGAGACCAUUAAAAGUAGUUCCUGAUUGGCAGAAAGGUUGUAUAUAUAAAUGGCUCAUUGAAAGUUCUCACUGCAUGGAUGAGAAAUCUCAGAUUGAGGUUCUUAAAUUUUGAAAAAUAGAAAUAAAGGAAUUAACGCAACAGUCUUCUAAUCUUUCUGCCUUCAGUUUUUGCUCCCUUUGACUAUUCUCUGUACACUGCAUCCAGAGGUUAUAUUUUGACAGGGAAAUUCAAAUGAUGUAUAUUAUUUUUCUACUCAAAAUCUCCCCACUGGCACCCUAUUGUCCUAAAGCAUAAACUGCUAUUGCAGUCAAUUCACCUGAAAUAAGCUCUCUUCCUGCCGCGUCUUUUACAUAGAUUGUUUACUCCUCUUGUGAUCCCAGUUCCCUGCUUCUCCCUCUCCUCCACACUUUUCAAUAAUUAAAUUAUACUCAGCGUUCAGAAUUCAGUCAGGAUAUCCUACCUUCUUUGGUCAGCCCCCCAGGGUUUUCUGAAAGCUGGGAAGAGGCCCUCUUCUGCAAUCCCCAUGCACUGUAGACACAUCCCCUUUAGGUCCCUAUGUUGUGAGUGACUGUUUUCUUGUCUGUCUCUGCCACUAUAUUAUGCACUCUUAGAAGGCAAGGACUACUUCUCUUCAUUGUAUACCUAGAACUUAACCCAAAAACUGGCAUGUGCAUGCACCCAAGUUUUCACUGAGAAAAUAAUUGCAUGAGUCACUUGCUUUCCAGGUCUUUCUGACUACUAUGAUGGUGAUGACUUGUAGUCACAACAUGAAAUUGGUUUCUGCCCCUGAGGAUUGUAUCUCUCUACUUUGCAUGACCCCUAGAUUUCAAUCCCUCUUUAUUCUCUCCUGAUCCUUGGGUUCCAGUAAUUCUCUGGGUUUCAAAUAUAAGCACAGUGUGAGGAGCUCUUCAUUCUUGACAGAACUUUCAGGCAAGAAAGAAAUAGAUUCCUGGGAAUAUCUAUAUUCCCUCUGGCCCUAUUCCUUACUCCCAAAACAUAAUAACCCUUUUCUUAGGUUUUUUCUCUCUACCUUUUUACUUCUUCCUUAUUCUCACGAUUACAUGAAUUAACUGCCUACAGAGUAUGAAUUCAGACUGAAUUAAUAUGUAUUUAUGUGACAUAAAAGAUCUCUUUCAGUACUUCUUAAUCUUACCAAAUGAUGCAUACUAUACAAUAAAAAAUUGCAAUUUUUUCAUUAGCUUUUUUUUUUUUUUUUGGUUUCUGGUAGGGUUUUCCUUUAGUGGUAUUUUAGCAAGUAAUACAAUCCAGUUAUUUUUAAAAGUAUAUUAGUAGAAACUCACCAGAAGUCAAUAUACUGGUCCAAGAAUAAUUAACUGAUUGACUUUAUUGUUUAUGAAACUUUGUAAUGUUCCUUUUGAUGUGAAUGCUUAUCUUAGGGGGAAAUGCACUUUUCAAAUAUAAAUGAUCAUGUUUAAACAAACUGCUUCUAGUUUCAAAUAUGGCACUGAAAAACAAAAUAAAAUAAACACUCAAUUUUUAUUUAAAAUGGUGGGCAAUUUACUUUCUUUUUUGUUUGGGAUCUGAUUCAAGAGCCUCAAUUCAGCUUAUUGCAGAACUAACUAAACUAAACCUCAAAGGAAAAAUUUUAAAAAUGAUUUUUAUAGCAAUGACAUCAUUAUAUAAAAUGUUGGCAUUUCAUAUUUUCCAAACAGAAACUUGGAAAUAACAGAAUACAAGUUAAAUAAAACAAAUUGAAACUAAUCCAAUUCUCUGUUUUUCUUUCCCUUUUUAAAAACCAAGCUUUUUAUUGCCAGCUUUUACUUUGCAUAAUAAUAUAUGAUGAAUUGUCCAAGAAAGACCCAGUGGGUACAUUUCUCUUAGAAAUAAGCCUCUCUAUGCAAUAGGAGGCCAAGUUCUAGGGCAACAUACUUAUAUAAUCAUGUAAGAUUUUCCUUAUUGCUAACAAUUGACCAACCUGGGCAUUUGUCAAAUAUGUAAACACAUGGAGGUCACUGGUCACCAGAGGAUUGAAAACACAAAUCACUCUAUUCAUAUCCAUCCCUAGUUCUAGAAAAACAAUACCAAAUUAAAGCAUAUAUCCUACUAGCAAUAGGACUAGCAAAAUUAUUUUGGUAUACCAGAGCUACAUGUUAUACAUUUUGCUACUUAUGGAUUUAAUUACUCAGGAUAAUUAUACACAUGGCUACAACUGUAAACUUUAUAAUAUUUUGCUGGCAUACCUUCCAAAAGAGUUUGAAAAGCUAUGAAUUUAAUUCUAUAUUUGCAUUUGACAUAUAAAGUAC
rnacentral:lncRNA from 10 species